ACUCCUACGGGAGGCAGCAGUGGGGAAUAUUGCGCAAUGGGGGCAACCCUGACGCAGCCAUGCCGCGUGAGUGAAGAAGGCCUUAGGGUUGUAAAACUCUUUCAGUGGUGAAGAUAAUGACGGUAGCCACAGAAGAAGCCCCGGCCAACUCCGUGCCAGCAGCCGCGGUAAUACGGAGGGGGCUAGCGUUGUUCGGAAUUACUGGGCGUAAAGCGCGCGUAGGCGGACUGGUCAGUUGGGGGUGAAAUCCCGGGGCUUAACCUCGGAACUGCCUUCAAUACUGCCAGUCUUGAGUUCGAGAGAGGUAAGCGGAAUUCCUAGUGUAGAGGUGAAAUUCGUAGAUAUUAGGAAGAACACCGGUGGCGAAGGCGGCUUACUGGCUCGAUACUGACGCUGAGGCGCGAAAGCGUGGGGAGCAAACAGGAUUAGAUACCCUGGUAGCUACGAG
rnacentral:rRNA from 1 species